CCAGCAUAGAUAACCUCAGGAGGUCACUCUCCCUGGUUCUGUCUUAAGAGGCAGAGGGAACACAGGGCUACGGCCAUGUACAUAGUCAUUUUCCAUGAUUCUGAAGAAGUUGGCUCGGAGCCUGCAUGUACAUAU
rnacentral:snoRNA from 1 species